rnacentral:rRNA from 1 species
GACGAACGCUGGCGGCGUGCUUAACACAUGCAAGUCGAACGGAAAGGCCCUGCUUUUGUGGGGUGCUCGAGUGGCGAACGGGUGAGUAACACGUGAGUAACCUGCCCUUGACUUUGGGAUAACUCCAGGAAACUGGGGCUAAUACCGGAUAGGAGCUCCUGCUGCAUGGGGGGGGUGGGAAAGUUUCGGCGGUUGGGGAUGGACUCGCGGCUUAUCAGCUUGUUGGUGGGGUAGUGGCUUACCAAGGCAUUGACGGGUAGCCGGCCUGGGAGGGUGACCGGCCACAUUGGGACUGAGAUACGGCCCAGACUCCUACGGGAGGCAGCAGUGGGGAAUAUUGCACAAUGGGCGGAAGCCUGAUGCAGCAACGCCGCGUGCGGGAUGACGGCCUUCGGGUUGUAAACCGCUUUCGCCUGUGACGAAGCGUGAGUGACGGUAAUGGGUAAAGAAGCACCGGCUAACUACGUG